rnacentral:rRNA from 1 species
AACCGCUUUUAUCAGUGAAAUAAAGUGCAUCACGUGUGGUGUCAUUGCAGGUAGCUGAAGAAAAAGGACCGGCUAAUUCCGUGCCAGCAGCCGCGGUAAUACGGAAGGUCCGGGCGUUAUCCGGAAUUAUUGGGUUUAAAGGGAGCGCAGGCGGGAGUAUAAGUCAGCUGUUAAAUAUCAGGGCCCAACUCUGUUAUGUAGUUGAAACUAUAUUUCUUGAGUACGCACAGGGAUGGCGGAAUUCAGGGUGUAGCGGUGAAAUGCUUAGAUAUCCUGAAGAACUCCGAUCGCGAAGGCAGCCAUCCGGAGCGUAACUGACGCUGAGGCCCGAAGGUGCGGGUAUCGAACAGGAUUAGAUACCCUGGUAGUCC